AACGAACGCUGGCGGCAUGCCUAACACAUGCAAGUCGAACGAGACCUUCGGGUCUAGUGGCGCACGGGUGCGUAACGCGUGGGAACCUGCCCUUAGGUUCGGAAUAACUCCCCGAAAGGGGUGCUAAUACCGGAUAAUGUCUUCGGACCAAAGAUUUAUCGCCUUUGGAUGGGCCCGCGUUGGAUUAGCUAGUUGGUAGGGUAAAAGCCUACCAAGGCGACGAUCCAUAGCUGGUCUGAGAGGAUGAUCAGCCACACUGGGACUGAGACACGGCCCAGCCCCCGCCGGGGGGAAGCGGGGGGAAAUAUUGGAGAAGGGACGAAGGCUUAACCCAGCAUGCCCGGGGGGGGAAAAAGGCCUUUGGGGUUGAAAAGCUUUUUACCCCGGAAUGAUAAGAAGAGACCGGGGAAAAAAGGCCCGGCCAACCCCCGCC
rnacentral:rRNA from 1 species